rnacentral:tRNA from 1 species
GGACAAGGCCACGCGGCCCAUGCUGGAUGCGUUGAAAGCCACCGAGGGUUCAAAUCCCUCUCUGUCCGCCA